CGAGUGCCGCUCACGCCCGGU
rnacentral:siRNA from 1 species